rnacentral:rRNA from 1 species
UACAGAGGGUGCAAGCGUUAAUCGGAAUUACUGGGCGUAAAGCGUGCGUAGGUGGAUAUUUAAGUCGAAUGUGAAAGCCCCGGGCUUAACCUGGGAACUGCAUCCGAUACUGGAUAUCUAGAGUAUGGUAGAGGAAAGUGGAAUUCCCGGUGUAGCGGUGAAAUGCGUAGAUAUCGGGAGGAACAUCAAUGGCGAAGGCAACUUUCUGGACUAAUACUGACACUGAGGCACGAAAGCGUGGGGAGCAAACAGG